rfam:Brachypodium distachyon strain Bd21 chromosome 2, whole genome shotgun sequence.
CUGUUACUCCCACCGUCCAACAAAAGAUGUCUCAAAUUUGUCAAAAUUUGAAUGUAUCUAGACAUGAGUUACUUUAUAGAUGCAUUCAAAUUUAGUUAAAGUUGAGACAUUUUUUGUUGGACAGAGGGAAUAGUUA